rnacentral:rRNA from 1 species
GAUGAACGCUGGCGGCGUGCCUAAUACAUGCAAGUCGAGCGAACGGACGAGAAGCUUGCUUCUCUGAUGUUAGCGGCGGACGGGUGAGUAACACGUGGAUAACCUACCUAUAAGACUGGGAUAACUUCGGGAAACCGGAGCUAAUACCGGAUAAUAUUUUGAACCGCAUGGUUCAAAAGUGAAAGACGGUCUUGCUGUCACUUAUAGAUGGAUCCGCGCUGCAUUAGCUAGUUGGUAAGGUAACGGCUUACCAAGGCAACGAUGCAUAGCCGACCUGAGAGGGUGAUCGGCCACACUGGAACUGAGACACGGUCCAGACUCCUACGGGAGGCAGCAGUAGGGAAUCCUCCGCAAUGGGCGAAAGCCUGACGGAGCAACGCCGCGUGAGUGAUGAAGGUCUUCGGAUCGUAAAACUCUGUUAUUAGGGAAGAACAUAUGUGUAAGUAACUGUGCACAUCUUGACGGUACCUAAUCAGAAAGCCACGGCUAACUACGUGCCAGCAGCCGCGGUAAUACGUAGGUGGCAAGCGUUAUCCGGAAUUAUUGGGCGUAAAGCGCGCGUAGGCGGUUUUUUAAGUCUGAUGUGAAAGCCCACGGCUCAACCGUGGAGGGUCAUUGGAAACUGGAAAACUUGAGUGCAGAAGAGGAAAGUGGAAUUCCAUGUGUAGCGGUGAAAUGCGCAGAGAUAUGGAGGAACACCAGUGGCGAAGGCGACUUUCUGGUCUGUAACUGACGCUGAUGUGCGAAAGCGUGGGGAUCAAACAGGAUUAGAUACCCUGGUAGUCCACGCCGUAAACGAUGAGUGCUAAGUGUUAGGGGGUUUCCGCCCCUUAGUGCUGCAGCUAACGCAUUAAGCACUCCGCCUGGGGAGUACGACCGCAAGGUUGAAACUCAAAGGAAUUGACGGGGACCCGCACAAGCGGUGGAGCAUGUGGUUUAAUUCGAAGCAACGCGAAGAACCUUACCAAAUCUUGACAUCCUUUGACAACUCUAGAGAUAGAGCUUUCCCCUUCGGGGGACAAAGUGACAGGUGGUGCAUGGUUGUCGUCAGCUCGUGUCGUGAGAUGUUGGGUUAAGUCCCGCAACGAGCGCAACCCUUGAGCUUAGUUGCCAUCAUUAAGUUGGGCACUCUAAGUUGACUGCCGGUGACAAACCGGAGGAAGGUGGGGAUGACGUCAAAUCAUCAUGCCCCUUAUGAUUUGGGCUACACACGUGCUACAAUGGACAAUACAAAGGGCAGCGAAACCGCGAGGUCAAGCAAAUCCCAUAAAGUUGUUCUCAGUUCGGAUUGUAGUCUGCAACUCGACUACAUGAAGCUGGAAUCGCUAGUAAUCGUAGAUCAGCAUGCUACGGUGAAUACGUUCCCGGGUCU